AUGGCCAUCCACAAGGCUUUGCUUCUUGCAAUCCUUGGUUGCAUCUGCCUCGGUGGUACUGUCAUUUCAGCUCGUGAGCUGAAUGAUGACUUGUCGAUGGUGGCGAAGCAUGAGAAUUGGAUGGUUCAGUAUGGCCGUGUGUUACAAGGCGCGCCGGUUCGAGGUUUUCAAAGCCAACGUCGAAUUCAUUGA
rnacentral:rRNA from 1 species